CUCAUUUCGGCAUGGCUUCCAAAAUUCUUAAUGAAGCAGCCCAAAUAAUGAGGAAAUUUUCUUGGCCCAAUUAAAUCAAUCACCAACACAAGAGCCCAAUUACUCACGAAUCAUAGCCCAAUUAAAUACCCAUUAAGCUCCAACAAUAGAAGCCCUACAGCAAUCAUCCACCACUCUACACCGUCGACCACACCUCAAAACAAAACAGAUUGAGCGGCGCCGAUGAAUCUCACAAACCAACAGAGAUGCCGAACUGCACACUUACCUCAACAAUUAUAAACCAUUGUUACAACCAAGAAUAGGUCUUGCUUCCAUCACUCAUAGAACACCGGAAAGGAGAUAGGGCAGUAUUGGAUUCGAUAUAGUCAAAUCCCCAAAUUCGAUCAUUUUGAGAAAGAUGGGGCAAAACGUUGCUGAUUCCACAGAGAACUCUUCCAAGCAUAAUAGAAAAAGUCAUCUUCCGGCGCGUUUCAACAUUGAUACGUGCGAGGAUGAUUGAAAGAUGAGUAAAUCUUUCUUCAAGUUCCCGAGGUCGUAUGUAAUAACUUUCGAUUUCUGCCAUAGGAAAUUUCUAAAAUUCCUUGUAUGGUUCAGAUGGAUCCGACAUGAGCAGUCUCUGAUUUAUAACUUUAGUGUGCAUGUGGUGUUGCAGUCUGGAGCAAAAUCUGAUCUUUGUAAACCUCAGUAUGUAGCUUAUCUGGAAAAAUAUGAACAAAAACUUUGGUGGGGAAAUGGUGCCUCCUUUUACCACCAAAGUUCAGCCUCUAACGGUUUGCCUAUUGAAUGAAAAUUUGAAAGUCUUGGGAUUUGGAUCUAUUGAUUACACAUAAUUUUGUGGGAAGUUUGAUGAGAAAACUGAAUGGGAGCAAGUUUGAAUUUGUUUGGAUUUUUGCUACAAAGGAAGACACAAAAGUUACGUUUAUGAAGAAGCAGCAGAAAAAAACUUGCAUAGAUAGUAAGGAGAUUUGAUCGGACGAGCGGCACGAGGCCGCUCGCCGGAGAACAAAGAUUACAAUUUUAACCCACGGUGAAAUUAAACCCGCUUUGAAUUUUACCGAUUCUACCCCUGCCCCUUCAACAAACUAGGGGUUUUCUUAUGUUGAAAAAUAUUUUUCUUUUUUUAUUUUCACCCAAAAUGUUUUUAUUCCAAGUUUGGAAGUUUUGAUUUGGUCGAUGCUGCGUUUUUUCUAUUCAAUCACCUCAAAUGCUUGGAGUUCAUUCUAAAUCAAUUUGGAGGAUAUUUUCACAAAAGCUCUCGACAAGGAUUAUUUUCGUCAUUUCGCAAGUUGGGCAUUACGGAUCUUCAUGCUCCAACUUGAGAGGGAGUAUUAAACGUGAUUAUAAGGAUUUGGCUAUAAUUGUGAAGAUUAUUUCCAUUUAUCAAAUAGUUUUGACCUAAAUUAAUUUUUGUUCCAUGCAUAGCAGGAUGUGGAUGUAAUUUGUACACCAAUAUACUGCAUAUUCAAUCAAUAAGAAAUUACUUCAUUCCAUAUGAAAUUUAACACUUUCAAUACCCUUUUUCCCCUUUCUCCAUUCCACCAUGCAACCGACCACUCCUCUCCCAUUGAGUCAAAGAAGCCCAAAAUCAUGGUAGGUGAGGCCAUUCUUUCAGUACUCAUUUUUACCUUUUCUCCAUUCCUCCACGCAAUCGACCACUCCUCUCCCAGUGAAUCAAAGAAGCCAAGUAAAGUGAUUAUUCAUGCUGGGCCUCUCCCAUUGAAUCAAAGAAGCCAAGUGAUUAUUCAUGCUGGACUUUUCUUUGUACUGGCCAGAAGGGAUGUUUAUAGAAAAAUCUUGCGCAAUUUUGGGUCCCUCUUAUCCUUCAGAUCGAUUCUUGAAUUUCACUUUUUUCGAUGGGUUCAUUAUGCAAUUUUGUAGAAAGCUUUUUUAUUGCUGUUCGGGUCAAAUUAUUGGAUUUUUCAAUUAAUUAUUCUCUGUGUUUGUGAAUUUUGGUUUGCUUACAAUGAUUUUCCUUGAGCCAUUUUUAACUCGAAAAAUCUUCAGUUGUGCAGGAGAAUCAUAAGCGAACAAGAGAUUCGGGAGGGAUGAAGUUUUGUGCCAGAAAGCAAGGGAUUUUUUCAGAUUAGUUCUUGAAUUUCACUUAUCCUCGAAGUUGAUCGAGCAAAAAGAGUGAAUCAACAGAAGACUGUUACUCAAUUAUUGGGUUGUUGAAAGAUAUACAUUUCACGAAGUGUAGAAGAAACGUGAUAGAAGAAAAGAGGUAAUGCUACUUGUGAUUUAAUACCAUAUAUACUGUAGCUUUACUCAUAAAUGCUCCUAUAUCAUUUCAUUUUAAGUUCAUGAUUACAUCAAAGAGAUUUGUGACGCAUUAGAAGAUUUUUAGACACAAGAAUUGUACCAGGUUGCAAGUUUAUGCGAAGUUAAGUGUUAAAGCCCAAAUAUCUACAUUCCCAUAAGAAACUUGUUAAUCAUAAAAUGGUGAAUAUCAUCAUUUUUAGGAUGUUUCAAACCUGCUUAGGUAUUAUAAAAAUAUUUCUUGGUUGAUUAAUUUACCUUUCAUGGGGGUAGAGGAAGCCUUUUAUGACAUAAAAUGCUAACUUUUUGGAGGUUCAUUCUCUCCCACAUUCUCCAGUUCCCUAAAUGCUUUGUAACUACCUUACUUGCCACAUUAAUUAUAAGUUAGUUGCAUACUAAGGAUUCUUAACAUUAGCCUAUAUGAUUCAGAUGUAAAGAAUGUUGGAAUUGCUAAUGAGUUAAGAAUGUUAGAAUUGCUAAUGAGUAUAUGAUAACAUAUACCUUGUCGCUGGAUGGGAAAAUUCCGUUCACCAUCAUAGCUUAGAAGCUGGUUAUAUUGUUGUGUUUGAAUACAUCGAAAAUUCUACAUUGAUGUUUCAAUAUUUGAUCAUUCGGCUUUAGAAUUAACAAAUGAAUCUGACUUCUCUAAAGCAGAAAUUUCAUCUACAAUUAAUCCUGUGUUUUAGAGUAACAUUGGCAGCCAUCAUGAUGGUCAUCAAAAAAUUAUGAGCUCUUCUUCAACUUAAAUUCUUUCAAACUUGUCUCUCUUUUUAGAUAGAUGCAUGCAAGAUAAAUUCAUGUUUGUCUUUUUGAACUAAUUCUUAAUUCCAUGGUUUAUUGAUUUGCCAUUUUACGGUAUAGUAAGUACCUGAGAACUUUGCUCACACACACCUACCAAAAUUUGUGUUGAAUGUUCAAAUCCACGAUUCUUCACAUAAUAAUUGGCAAGUACGUACAAAUUUAAGAAGAAAUGAUGAUAUACGCUGUUUCACAGUUGGUUGGACAUAUUAUGCUAGAGAGAAACAAAAUGAAAUAGAUGAUACAUGCAUAUUUGAGCUUGUGAAUGACGAAUUGCCAAUGUUUAUGGCUGUACAAAGUAUGUCAUACAGAUGGAAGCUUUAUCCCUACACGAAUUGUACCAUUAUAAUUGUAAUUUCCAUAUGUACUUAAUAUCAAACUUUUGGUUUUUCUUUUCGAUGUAUUAACAUUUGAGAUCUAAAGUUAGCAUGAUUGUAUUUCAAAUUUAUUAAUGUUCUUUUUUUUU